rnacentral:lncRNA from 1 species
AUAAUAAUUAUUUGACUGUUGACGAAACAAUGGGAGCAAUAUUUUUCUGUAGACACCAACCGUUCCAAGAGCAAGUGACAAAGGACUUGGUGGUUGGUAUCCGAGACCCAAGUUCGAAUCCUAGUUGAUUCACAUUUCCAGCUAAGUUUAUUUCUAAAUGAAAUAAACGAAACGGGUAGCGUGCUACCUAUCUCUCAAAAAAAAAAAAAAAAAAUUUUUUUCCGUAGACAAGCACCACUGUAACAGCUUUUGUGUGUGUGUGUGUGUGUUGACCCCUUUGAGGCCUGUAUUGCCUCACCCAUAUAGCUUAGUUUAUUUUUCCAAUGAAUGAAGCGGAUAGCGCGCGUACUAUCUUAUCCUCAAUAAUAAUAAUAAUAAUAAUAAUU